rnacentral:rRNA from 1 species
AGUGAACGCUGGCGGUAGGCCUAACACAUGCAAGUCGAACGGCAGCACAGGAGAGCUUGCUCUCUGGGUGGCGAGUGGCGGACGGGUGAGGAAUACAUCGGAAUCUACUUUUUCGUGGGGGAUAACGUAGGGAAACUUACGCUAAUACCGCAUACGACCUACGGGUGAAAGCAGGGGAUCUUCGGACCUUGCGCGAUUGAAUGAGCCAAUGUCGGAUUAGCUAGUUGGCGGGGUAAAGGCCCACCAAGGCGACGAUCCGUAGCUGGUCUGAGAGGAGGAUCGGACACACUGGAACUGAGACACGGUCCAGAAUCCUACGGGAGGCAGCAGUGGGGAAUAUUGAACAAUGGGCGCAAGCCUGGUCCAGCCAUACCGCGUGGGUGAAGAAGGCCUUCGGGUUGCAAAGCCCUUUUGUUGGGAAAGAAAUCCAGCUGGUUAAUACCCGGUUGGGAUGACGGUACCCAAAGAAUAAGCACCGGCUAACUUCGUGCCAGCCGCCGCCGUAA